rnacentral:pre_miRNA from 2 species
GGGAGGUGUGAUCCCGUGCUUCCUGGGAGGUGUGAUAUUGUGGUUCCUGGGAGGUGUGAUCCCGUGCUCCCU